UAUCCUGUCUGAAUAUGGGGGGACCAUCCUCCAAGGCUAAAUACUCCUGACUGACCGAUAGUGAACCAGUACCGUGAGGGAAAGGCGAAAAGAACCCCGGCGAGGGGAGUGAAAAAGAACCUGAAACCGUGUACGUACAAGCAGUGGGAGCCUCUUAAUGAGGUGACUGCGUACCUUUUGUAUAAUGGGUCAGCGACUUAUAUUCUGUAGCAAGGUUAACCGAAUAGGGGAGCCGAAGGGAAACCGAGUCUUAACUGGGCGUUAAGUUGCAGGGUAUAGACCCGAAACCCGGUGAUCUAGCCAUGGGCAGGUUGAAGGUUGGGUAACACUAACUGGAGGACCGAACCGACUAAUGUUGAAAAAUUAGCGGAUGACUUGUGGCUGGGGGUGAAAGGCCAAUCAAACCGGGAGAUAGCUGGUUCUCCCCGAAAGCUAUUUAGGUAGCGCCUCGUGAAUUCAUCUCCGGGGGUAGAGCACUGUUUCGGCAAGGGGGUCAUCCCGACUUACCAACCCGAUGCAAACUGCGAAUACCGGAGAAUGUUAUCACGGGAGACACACGGCGGGUGCUAACGUCCGUCGUGAAGAGGGAAACAACCCAGACCGCCAGCUAAGGUCCCAAAGUCAUGGUUAAGUGGGAAACGAUGUGGGAAGGCCCAGACAGCCAGGAUGUUGGCUUAGAAGCAGCCAUCAUUUAAAGAAAGCGUAAUAGCUCACUGGUCGAGUCGGCCUGCGCGGAAGAUGUAACGGGGCUAAACCAUGCACCGAAGCUGCGGCAGCGACACUAUGUGUUGUUGGGUAGGGGAGCGUUCUGUAAGCCUGUGAAGGUGGCCUGUGAGGGUUGCUGGAGGUAUCAGAAGUGCGAAUGCUGACAUAAGUAACGAUAAAGCGGGUGAAAAGCCCGCUCGCCGGAAGACCAAGGGUUCCUGUCCAACGUUAAUCGGGGCAGGGUGAGUCGACCCCUAAGGCGA
rnacentral:rRNA from 1 species